rnacentral:misc_RNA from 1 species
CUUUUUUUUUUAUUGAAUAUUUAAUAGAAAAGAUGACGACCGUUGGAUCAGAUUACUGGAAACGGAAGGCAGAGAUCAAGUAGCGUUAGGCACAAACAUAGAGCCAUGGUCUCCUUUUUAUCUGAAAACUUGAGCAAAUUAGGCGCGCUGCCUUUACUCACAAAGCAGUAUUUCCUGCCACUAUCUCAUCUCAUCUGUCAC